CACGGGGGGAGCAAGCGUUGUUCGGAUUUACUGGGCGUAAAGGGCGCGUAGGCGGCCAGCACAAGUCAGUUGUGAAAUCUCCGAGCUUAACUCGGAAAGGUCAACUGAUACUGUGCGGCUAGAGUGCGGAAGGGGCAACUGGAAUUCUUGGUGUAGCGGUGAAAUGCGUAGAUAUCGAGAGGAACACCUGCGGCGAAGGCGGGUUGCUGGGCCGACACUGACGCUGAGGCGCGAAAGCCAGGGGAGCGAACGGG
rnacentral:rRNA from 1 species